rnacentral:rRNA from 1 species
UACAGAGGGGGCAAGCGUUGUUCGGAAUUACUGGGCGUAAAGGCGCGUAGGCGGCCUGCUAAGUCGGACGUGAAAUCCCCGGGCUCAACCCGGGAACUGCAUCCGAUACUGCCGUGCUAGAGGAUUGGAGAGGUAGCUGGAAUUCUUGGUGUAGCAGUGAAAUGCGUAGAUAUCAAGAGGAACACUCGUGGCGAAAGCGAGCUACUGGACAAUUUCUGACGCUGAGGCUCGAAGGCUAGGGUAGCGAAAGGG